AAUACCCCACCGCGUACUUGCCGGUAUAAAAACGCAAGACGCGUUCACUCGGCCUUUUUUCCAUGCAUCGUCGUUGACUUUUAAUAGACUAGAAAAGUGAGAUAUAGAACACGUGGCCGCUGACAGGGGUCUCCCUGUCGGCGGCCGCCAGCGCCAAGGUCGAGCGGGCGCCGCGAUCGCUCCCUGCCGCGCCGGCGCAGCGCUGCCGUGCUGCAGUGCUGCAAAUGCAUCCACAUUCCACCACACGUCCAUCCACGAGCAGUCGAUAAACUAUAGUUCACCCGUGAAGCUCAUUCCUCUGCAGGUGGCCGCGACGUUUCUGAACCUCUGACCUUGCGGCAACCUACAGAGCACGCAGUGCUUCGCCCUCAUUAACAACAACAAAUAAAAUUUACGCGGGAAUUUCAUCCAUCUGUAGACUGCGGCAAUGUUGAGCGUUCACUCAUUGCGGCAGCCUACAGAGCACCAGCGACUCGUUACAUGGACGCCGUGGAUUAUGUCAACUCCACAACACACAGCAUAGUUCUAAAAUCAUAAGCUUUUUUUUUUUCAAGAGAAUUGGUACAUUUUUGCAUAUACAACUCACGUACAACUUAAAUAACUAUUACAAUAAUUAUUACAAUGUCCGUAGAAAUAGUUUACUCGGUAACGCAACUCCAGUCGGCCUCCCUAGCUCUUAAGAAAUUUGACAAACUCACAACAGAUAAAAUAAAAUAUCUUUUUAUUGUUGAAUCUUAAUAUUAAGAAUAUUUUGUUUAGUUUUGCCAUAUAUACAUCUUUUAAUUAUUCUAUUAAGAAUAAUUCUAAGAUAUAAUAUGACUACUUAGUGUCCGAAAAUAAGUCACGCAAAGAAACACACACACGUAAAACGUUACAAAUAGAUUAUAUUACUAUCCUAAGCGCCUACUGUUCAUAUCUUCGAUGGAUCUACACUAUCACGCUCAAGCAUACACUUAUUUUACAAAGCACCUCCGAUGUUAAACACUUCCCUACGUUUAUUUGUAUCCAGUUUUAGUUUUUAGUUUUUCAUUAUUUUUUUUGGUGGUGGGUUUUUUUCAAAUAAAGUUUUGGUUUGUUAAGCAUGA